AUACGGAGGGUGCGAGCGUUGUUCGGAAUUAUUGGGCGGAAAGAGCAUGUAGGCGGUCUGUUAAGUCUGGUGUGAAAGCCCGGGGCUCAACCCCGGAAGUGCAUUGGAUACUGGCAGACUUGAGUAUGGGAGAGGAAAGCGGAAUUCCGAGUGUAGGAGUGAAAUCCGUAGAUAUUCGGAGGAACACCAGUGGCGAAGGCGGCUUUCUGGACCAAUACUGACGCUGAGAUGCGAAAGCGUGGGGAGCGAACAGGAUUAGAAACCCUAGUAGUCC
rnacentral:rRNA from 1 species